rnacentral:ncRNA from 14 species
AAAAAACUAUUAGGGUGCCCGUAGUAUGGGUUUAGAAAAAACCUUUUGGACUUGAUAUGGAUCAUACCAGCUUAGGAAAGUAGUGUAAUUUUUUCC